GUCAUGGGGAAAGAAAACCCUGCAACAUGCAGCAAAACGUUUAAACUGAAAUGAAACUAACUCUUGAAGUUAGCAAUAUGCUUGGCUUAGAAGCUUUACUUUGCACAGCAACCGCCAAGAUCACAAUCAUAUUCAUCUUAUUCAACAUUCCAAGACAGGAAACUCACUAAACAACCAAUAUAGGCAUUAUAGAAAAAAAUCCCACUCUGAGUACAUCUGUUGGGAUAAAGGCUUAGUUGAGUGAGUUGAGUACAUCUGUUGCCUAAGAAUUCUUUGCUUUGUACAUAAAUCAGCAAUAAAUGAAUCCACGGAACUCCACCAAAAUGCUUACCUACAGGUGUUGCGAUAAAUGGU
rnacentral:misc_RNA from 1 species